CCUACGGGAGGCAGCAGUGAGGAAUAUUGCACAAUGGGCGCAAGUCUGAUCCAGCCAAGUCGCGUGAAUGAUGACUGCCCUAUGGUUGUUAAACUUCUUUUAUAUGGGAGUAAGUGGUUCCGCGUAUGUGAUUUUGUAUGGACCAUAUCUAUAAAGAACGCCUCACUUCGUUCCAUCAGCCGCGGUAAUACGGAGGAUCCGAGCGUUAUGCGAAUUUAUUGGGUUUAAAGGGAGCGUAGGUGGAUUGUUAAGUCAGUUGUGAAAGUUUGCGGCUUAACCGGAAAAUUGCAGUUGAAACUGGCAGUCUUGAGUACAGUAGAGGUGGGUGGAAUUCGUGGUGUAGCGGUGAAAUGCGUAGAUAUAUGGAAGAAUACCGGUGGCGAAGGCAGCUCACUGGACUGAAACUGACACUGAGGUUCGAAAGCGUGGGUAGCAAACAGGAUUAGAUACCCGUGUAGUC
rnacentral:rRNA from 1 species